rnacentral:rRNA from 1 species
GAUGAACGCUGGCGGCGUGCUUAACACAUGCAAGUCGAACGGGAUCCAAGGGGUGCUUGCACUUUUUGGUGAGAGUGGCGAACGGGUGAGUAACACGUGAGUAACCUGUCCUUUUCUUUGGGAUAAGCAUUCGAAAGGGUGUUUAAUACCUUAUGUUCUGUCUGCCUCGCAUGGGGUGGGUGGGAAAGGCUUUGGCCGGAUUUGGGUGGGCUCGCGGUCUAUCAGCUUGUUGGUGGGGUGAUGGCUUACCAAGGCUUUGACGGGUAGCCGGCCUGAGAGGGUGGUCGGUCACAUUGGGACGGGGAUACGGCCCAGACUCCGGCGGGAGGAAGCGGUGGGGAUAUUGCACAAUGGGCGAAAGCCUGAUGCAGCGACGCCGCGUGGGGGAUGAAGGCCUGCGGGUUGUAAACUUCUUUUGCUCUGAACAAGGCAUGCCAGUGGGUGUGUUGAGUGUAGGGGUUGAUUAGCGCCGGCUAACUACGUG